rnacentral:rRNA from 1 species
AUCCAGACUCCUACGGGAGGCAGCAGUGGGGAAUAUUGCACAAUGGGGGAAACCCUGAUGCAGCGACGCCGCGUGAGCGAUGAAGUAUUUCGGUAUGUAAAGCUCUAUCAGCAGGGAAGAAGAUGACGGUACCUGACUAAGAAGCCCCGGCUAACUACGUGCCAGCAGCCGCGGUAAUACGUAGGGGGCAAGCGUUAUCCGGAUUUACUGGGUGUAAAGGGAGCGUAGACGGCAGUGCAAGUCUGGAGUGAAAGGCGGGGGCUCAACCCCCGGACUGCUCUGGAAACUGUACGGCUGGAGUGCAGGAGAGGUAAGUGGAAUUCCUAGUGUAGCGGUGAAAUGCGUAGAUAUUAGGAGGAACACCAGUGGCGAAGGCGGCUUACUGGACUGUAACUGACGUUGAGGCUCGAAAGCGUGGGGAGCAAACAGGAUUAGAUACCCGAGUAC